AUUGAACGCUAGCGGGAUGCCUUACACAUGCAAGUCGAACGGAGUGGCGAACGGGUGAGUAAUGUACCGGAACGUGCCCAGUAGCGGGGGAUAACUACGCGACAGCGUAGCUAAUACCGCAUACUAUUGGAGCGGCCGAUCUCGGAUUAGCUAGUUGGUGGGGUAACGGCUCACCAAGGCGACGACCCGUAGCUGGGUUGAGAGGGCGACCAGCCACACUGGAACUGAGACACGGCCCAGACUCCUACGGGAGGCAGCAGUGGGGAAUUUUGGACAAUGGGGGAAACCCUGAUCCAGCCAUCCGGCGUGUGCGAUGAAGGCCUUCGGGUUGUAAAGCACUUUUGGCAGGAAAGCGGUACCUGCAGAAUAAGCACCGGCUAACUACGUGCCAGCAGCCGCGGUAAUAC
rnacentral:rRNA from 1 species